rnacentral:rRNA from 1 species
GACGAACGCUGGCGGCGUGCUUAACACAUGCAAGUCGAGCGGAAAGGCCCUUCGGGGUACUCGAGCGGCGAACGGGUGGGUAACACGUGAGUAACCUGCCCUAGGCUUUGGGAUAACCCCGGGAAACCGGGGCUAAUACCGGAUAUGACCUGGUGCCGCAUGGUGUUGGGUGGAAAGUUUUUUCGGCCUGGGAUGGGCUCGCGGCCUAUCAGCUUGUUGGUGGGGUGAUGGCCUACCAAGGCGAUGACGGGUAGCCGGCCUGAGAGGGCGACCGGCCACACUGGGACUGAGACACGGCCCAGACUCCUACGGGAGGCAGCAGUGGGGAAUAUUGCACAAUGGGCGGAAGCCUGAUGCAGCGACGCCGUGUGAGGGAUGAAGGCCUUCGGGUUGUAAACCUCUUUCAGCAGGGACGAAGCGUGAGUGACGGUACCUGCAGAAGAAGCGCCGGCCAACUACGUG